GAUGAACGCUGGCGGCGUGCUUAAUACAUGCAAGUCGAACGGGUAUAGCAAUAUACAAGUGGCGACCGGGUGCGUAACACGUAGUUGACCUGCCCCUCAGCGGGGGAUAACGUUUCGAAAGAGACGCUAAUACCGCAUGAUUUCAGUGGGAUUAGAAGCCAUUGAAUAAACUUCCGGGGUUGAGGGAGGGGACUGCGGCCCAUCAGGUAGUUGGUGAGGUAACGGCUCACCAAGCCAUUGACGGGUAGGGGGCCUGAGAGGGUGGUCCCCCACACUGGAACUGACACACGGUCCAGACUCCUACGGGAGGCAGCAGUAAGGGAUAUUGGUCAAUGGGCGCAAGCCUGAACCAGCAACGCCGCGUGCAGGAUGACGGCCUUCGGGUUGUAAACUGCUUUGGAAGGGGACGAGCAAGGACGGUACCCUUCGAACAAGUCACGGCUAACUACGUG
rnacentral:rRNA from 1 species